rnacentral:rRNA from 1 species
UACGUAGGGCGCAAGCGUUGUCCGGAAUUAUUGGGCGUAAAGAGCUCGUAGGCGGUCUGUCGCGUCUGCUGUGAAAACUCAGGGCUUAACCCUGAGCUUGCAGUGGGUACGGGCAGACUAGAGUGGCGGUAGGGGAGACUGGAAUUCCUGGUGUAGCGGUGAAAUGCGCAGAUAUCAGGAGGAACACCGGUGGGCGAAGG